AAAGGCAGUUUAGAUCAUAAUGGUGAUUUUUUGGAUGCCACUUUGUCUGUCCUUGGCCUUCUUUUCUUGUCUUGGACACAAUAUUGAAGACGCCUGGACGCUGGUUUUCCAUGCUAUAAAAGGCAAUGGAUAUGAUGUCUAUGCUGCAUGGGACAAUAGAUCCCCAUAACACUGCACACCAAAACGAGGCUGUAUUCCCCGACAGUUUAAGCUUGAAAACUGGAGGUACAGCGGAAGGCAUUUUCGAAGUCCACUUAUUGAUCAUUGGAAUUCCCUAGAUAUUGUUAAGGUCCGGGUAGUGUUUGGAGAACACGGGAAAACACUUGCUUUUUUUGGAA